UGGAAGCCCCGNUAAGCUUGAAUGUUGGUGU
rnacentral:piRNA from 1 species